rnacentral:rRNA from 1 species
AAAGCUAAUCUGCGCAGGGUUAGUCGGCCCCUAAGGCGAGGCUGAAAAGCGUAGUCGAUGGGAAGCAGGUAAAUAUUCCUGCACCAGCUGGAAGUGACGGAUGGCUUAACUCGUACCCACUUAUUGGAUUGUGUGUGCGGGGGCGUUGUCCCAGGAAAUAACUCCAGCAGAGACCGUACCCGAAACCGACACAGGUGGUCAGGUAGAGCAUACCAAGGCGUUUGAGAGAACUGUGCUGAAGGAACUCGGCAAAUUGCACGCGUAACUUCGGAAUAAGCGUGACUCACCUUGCGCAAGCAGGAAUGAGUGGCACAAGCCAGGGGGUAGCGACUGUUUAGCAAAAACACAGGGCUCUGCGAAGCAGCAAUGCGACGUAUAGGGUCUGACGCCUGCCCGGUGCCUGAAGGUUAAAGGGAGGAGUGAAAGCUCCGAACUGAAGCCCAGGUAAACGGCGGCCGUAACUAUAACGGUCCUAAGGUAGCGAAAUUCCUUGUCGGGUAAGUUCCGACCUGCACGAAUGGCGUAACGACUUCCCCCUGUCUCCAGCACAGGCUCAGUGAAAUUGAAUUCCCCGUGAAGAUGCGGGGUUCCCGCGGUCAGACGGAAAGACCCUAUGAACCUUUACUAUAGCUUCGCCUUGGCGUUAGCGACCGUAUGUGUAGGAUAGGUGGGAGACUAUGAAACCGGGGCGCCAGCUCUGGUGGAGUCGUCCUUGAAAUACCACCCUUACUGUCGUUGACGUCUAACCGAGGGCCGUUAUCCGGUCCCGGGACAUGGCGUGGUGGGUAGUUUGACUGGGGCGGUCGCCUCCCAAAGUGUAACGGAGGCGCGCGAUGGUGAGCUCAGAGCGGUCGGAAAUCGCUCGUCGAGUGCAAUGGCAUAAGCUCGCCUGACUGCGAGACUGACAAGUCGAGCAGAGACGAAAGUCGGCCAUAGUGAUCCGGUGGUCCCGAGUGGAAGGGCCAUCGCUCAACGGAUAAAAGGUACUCUAGGGAUAACAGGCUGAUUUUGCCCAAGAGUCCAUAUCGACGGCAAAGUUUGGCACCUCGAUGUCGGCUCAUCACAUCCUGGGGCUGUAGCCGGUCCCAAGGGUAUGGCUGUUCGCCAUUUAAAGUGGUACGUGA